UCUCUCUAAAACUUAGGCAGAUCUUAACUUUUGAUCUGUAACUCCGAUUCAAGAUGUGUGAAAAAUUACGGAUUCGUCCUGAUGCCCUCUUUCUGGAGGUUUGAGUUAGAUCAAACGGUUGUUUCUAGAAGGCUCAUAUUAGGAGACUCGAUUUAUGAUUAGUAUAUUGAAAGUUGAUUCGUAUUGUCAAGGUCUGCAAGAGGGAGCAAGGGCUUUAUGGUGUGGAAAAUUGAUCUCUCCAAGGCUUAUUUGACAGAGGUGUGAGACAAGGGGAUCUCUUAUUUAAUUCAAGCUGCUACUGAUGUUGGACAAUGGAAGCAAGUUCAGUCCUCAAACUCUGGCCCUUGUGUGUCGCACUAAUUCUUUUCCAAUGACAUUAUCUUAUUAGCGGAA